rnacentral:tRNA from 1 species
GCCUGGGUGGCUCAGUUGGUUGAGCGUCUGACUUCGGCUCAGGUCAUGAUCUCGUGGUCUGUGGGUUCAAGCCCCGCGUCGGGCU